GACAGACAAAUAAAUAGGUAGAGAGAGAAAGAGAGAGAGAGAGACUGAGAACUAGACAGAAAGGAUAAAAAAUACAGAGGGUGUAGGAUAUUGAGAGAGAGACACGCACACACACAAACAAUUAAAUAGAAAGUCAUAGAAAUUUAGGCGAGAAGGUGGAGCGGUAGAUGAGCUGGUCUAGAUUUACUAAAUUAUAUACAGAUUGAAACGAGUGACACCUGGCUACUAAAGUCAUGGGAAUCAACAGGUAGAAACCAGAAAAGAAAAAAAAAAAAAGGGGGAAACAUCAUAUCAAGGAAGAAUAGCAGAAGAAGAAAACAACAUUCAUAUUAAGAGAAGCAAAGGAAUGUACAGGGAAAACAAAAUACAAUAAGUGAUUAUAGGUCUUUCCAUCUACGAACUUUCAUUUAUCAAAUACAAAUUUUGCACUAUAUUUUUUGCUACCUUGAAAACACAUUUGUACAUAUAAAUAUAUUAUCAGACAUUGCUCUUUCUCUCUAUAUAUAAACUUAUAUACAUAUAUACAUUAAUAUACUUAUAUAUAUUACAUACUUAUAUUCAUAUAUUCAUACACACAUAUACAUAUAUAAAUAUAUACAUCAUCAUAACUUUAGAAAAAGAUGUCUUGCUCAACAGAUAGGAUACCUGUUGCCUCAGGAAGGAGAUGGUGUCAAACAAGUUAUUUAUCGCUACUACAAAUAUUAUUAUUUAUACUUUUGUGUCGAGCAGAUUUAGUGAGUGCCGAAGCUUCGUUGACGAUAAAACUUGCCGUGUCUUCAGCUAUGGCUGUUCUAAUGUUUAUAAUACUUACGAUAAUUAUCGUUGUCGGUAUUACCUGCAAUAAAUGGUAUGAUAAAUAUCAAACUAAGCUUGGACGCGGAAAAAUACCAGCUAUUUCCAGCUUCUGGAAGAAACGAAAAUGCAUUCGACGUUCUAUGGAUUCUGCGCGAAGCAAGGACCCACUCAGCACUUAUAACAGUGUGAUAAUUCCAUCCCCAAAUCCGAGAAACAACGACACAGGUAAUCUUACAUGCGUACACACA